rnacentral:lncRNA from 1 species
ACAUUUCAGAAUAGUGCCUACUUCUGGGAUAAAGGUUGAGGAGAGAUUGGAAUGGGACCCUAAGCUUUCCAGGGUGCUGCUAGUGUUCUAUUUUUUAUGCUUGUUAGUGAGUAUUUGGGUGCUUUUUAAUCUUUAUAUCGUGUGUGUAUGUCUUAUACAUAUUUUUGGUUUUGUGUAUAUGAAAUAAUUCAUUAAAAAUAAAAGAAGAAAUGACAUAAAUAAAACAAUGCUAUUUAAUUUGGCCACAGAGGAGGUAGAGAUUCACCAAACCUCCCUCAAAAUAUGCGUUAAAAUCGCCUGUGUGAACUCUUAUCAUAUGUAAUAUUAUUGCACAUAUACUUUUGCUCUACUUUCUUUUUUUCCAUUAGGAGAAUAUAAAUAUUUUCCUUUUUUUAAGUGAUAUAAAUAACAUAUAACAUUAUGUUAGUUUCAGGUAUAUAAUAUAAUGAUUAGAUAUACGUAUGCACUGGGAAAUGAUUACCACAAGAAGUCUAGUUACCGUAUGUCAUGAUACAAAGUUACAACAAUUAUUUUUCUUGUGAAAAGAACUUUUAGGAUUUAUUAGCUUAGCAACUUUCGUAUAUGCAGUGUAAUGUUAUUGACUAUAGUCACCAUCCUGUACAUUACAUCCUUUUGACUUGUUUAUAACUGGAAGUCAGUACUUCUUGAUCCCCUUCACCCAUUUUACCUACCCCCAGUCUUCCUCCCAUUUGGCAAUCAUCAAUCUGUUCUCUGUUUAUUACUUUUCUUUUGUUUUUAGAUCCCACAUGUAAGUGACAUCACAUAGGAUUUGUCUUUCUCUGUUUGACUACACUUAACAUAAUAUGCUCAAAGUCUCAUCCAUGUGAUCCCAAAUGGCAAGACUUCAUUCUUUUUUAUGGCUAAAUAACAUUUCAUUGAAUAUGUAAUACAUCUUCUAUAGCUAAUCAUCCUUCCAUAGACAUAGUUUUUCCAUGUCUUGGUUAUUGUAAAUUAUGCUGCAGUGAACAUGAAGGUGUAUAUUUCUCUUCUAAUUACUGAUUUCAUUUUCUUUGGAUAAAUAUCCUGAAGUGGAAUUGCUGGGUCAUGUGGCAUUGUAUUUAAAAUUUUUCAGGAAUAUCCAUACUGUUUUCCACAGUGACUGUACCAAUUUAUCUUCCCACCAACAGUACACAAUGGUUCUAUUUUCUCCACGGCCUUGGCAACACUUGUUAUUUCUUGUCUUUUGAUAACCACCAUUCGAACAGGUGUGAGGUGGUUUUGAUUUGGAUUUCCCUUAUGAUUAGAGAUUUGGACUAUUUGAGUGUCUUCUCUGGGAAAAUGUCUGCUCAGAUCUUAUGCCCAUUUUUUUAAUCAGAUUUUUUUUGUUAUUGAGUUGUAUGUGUUCUUUCUAUAUUUGGGGUAUUAAUCCCUAUUAGAUAUAUAGUUUGCAAGUAUUUUCUGUCAUUCAAGAUCCAUUUUAAUUUUGCUUAUGGUUUCCUAUGCUCUUCGGAAGAUUCUGUUUGAUAUAGUCCCACUUGCUAAUUUUCACUUUUGUUGCCCUUGCCUUUGGAGUCAGAUACAAGAAAAAUUAUUGCCAAGAUCAAAGUCAGGGAGCUUAUUGCCUAUGUUUUCUUCUAGGAAUUGUAUGACUUCAGCUUUUACAUCAAGUGUUUAAUCCAUUUUGAGUUAAUUUUUGUGCAUGAUGUAAGAUAGUAGUCUAAUUUUCUUCUUUUUUAUGUGGCUCUUUUCCCAAGACCAUUUAGUUAUGAGAUUGUCCUUCCCUCAUUGUAUACCCUUGCCUCCUUUGCUGUAAAUUAAUUGACCAUAUAAGGGUGGGUUUAUUCCCAGGCUCUCUGUCCUGUUCCAUUGAUCUGUGUCUGUUUUUAUGCCAAUACCACAGUUUUGAUUACUGUAUCUUUGUAUUAUAGUUUUAAAUUAGGGAGCGUGAUGCCUCCAGCUUUCUCCUUUCUCAAGAUUGCUUUGAUUAUUUGGGAUCUUUUGUGAUUCCAUACAAAUUUUAGCAGUGUUCUAUUUACAUGAAAAAUGCCACUCCAAUUUUGACAGGGACCAAAUUGAAUCUGUAGAUUGUUUUUGGUAAUACAGACAUUUAAACAAUAUUAAUUCUUCCAAUUCAUGAGCAGAGAACAUUUCCAUUUAUUUGUGUAUUCUUCAAUUUAUUUAAUCAACAUCUUGUAGUUUUCAGUGUACAGGUCUUUCACCUCCUUGGUUAAAUUUACUUCAAAGUAUUGUGUUCUUUUUGCAAUUGUAAAUGGGAUUGUUUUCUUACAUCUCUUUAGUAUUUUCUUAUAUGUGUCUGAUAUACUAACAAAAUAUAAGAAAUAAUUUUUUCCAGCACAUUCCUUGAAAUGUCCCCAGAUCCUUUUGUUGAUGAUAAAUGCUUUCUACAUUAUAUGUCAAAUUCUUAUCUUUUGCAGUACUCAAAAGUAAAAGCCAAAGUCUAGUCAGUGUUACCAAAAUACUUAAUGUAUAUGGUAUUUAUACUCUUUUAGACAUAUCCCUGUUAUUUAUGUAAUUAUUUAUUUAUUUAUUCAUUUUAAAUGUAUUGGGGUAUAGUUGCUUUACAAUGUCGUGUUAGUUUGUUAUAUAGCAAAGUGAUUCAGUUGUAUAUACCUGCAUUCAUUCUUAUUCAGAUGUUAUCUCAUAUAGGUUAUUAAAGAAUAUUGAGUAGAGUUGCCUGUAUUGUACAGUAGUUCCUUGUUUAUUAUCUAUUUUAUGUAUAAUAGUGUCUAUAUGUUAAUCCCAAACUUCCAAUUUAUCCUCUCCACACCUUCACCCUUUGUAACCAUAAAUUUGUUUUCAAAGUCUGUGAGUCUGUUUCUGUUUUGUAAAUAUGUUUAUUUGUAUCAUUUUUAAAAAUUAGAUUCCAUAAAUAAGUUUUAUCGUAUGUUUAUCUUUAUCUGAUUUACUUCACCUAGUAUGUUAAUCUCUAGAACCAUCCAUGCUGCAAAUGGCAUUAUUUCAUUCUUUUUAUGGCUGAUUAAUAUUGCAUUGUAUAUAUCCAGUCUUCAUCCAUUCCUCUGUUGAUGGGCAUUUAGGUUGCUUCCAUGUCUUGCCUAUUGUAAAUAGUGCUGCAAUUAACAUUGAGGUGCUUGUAUCUUUUCAAAGUUUGGUUUUCUCCAGUUACAAGCCCAGGUGGGAUUUCUGGGUUAUUAGGUUCUAUAUAUAGUUUUUUAAGGAACCUCCGUACUGUUCUUCGUAGUGGUUGUAGCAAUUUACAUUCCCACCAACAGUGUAGGAGAGUUCCCUUUUCUCCACACCUUCUCCAGCAUUUAUAGUUUGUAGGCUUUUUGAUGAUGUCUGUUCUAACUGGUUGAUAUCUCACUGCAGUUUUGAUUUGUAUUUCUCUAAAAAUUAGCAAUGUUGAGCAUCUUUUCAUGUGCUUUUUUGGCCAUCUGUAUACCUUCUUUGAAGAAAUGUCUAUCUAAAGAUGAAUGUCUGUGUAAAGAUCAAUGAAACUAAAAGCUGGUUCUAUGAAAGGAUCAACAACAUUGAUAAACCUUUAUCCAGACUCAUCAAGAAAAAAGGGAGAGAGCUCAGAUCAAUAAAAUGAGAAAUGAAAAAGAAGUUUCAACUGACACCACAGAAAUACAAAGGAUCAUAAGAGACUACUAUGACAACUAUAUCCCAAUAAAUGGACAACCUAGAAGAAAUGGACAAAUUCUUAGAAGGGAUAUCCUUCCAAGACUGAACCGGGAAGAAACAUAAAAUAUGAAAGAAUAAUCACAAGUACUGAAAUUGAAACCGACUAAAAACUUCCAACAGUUGGGGUUAGUAGAUGCAAACUAUUACAUUUAGAAUGGAUACGCAAUGAGGUCCUACUAUAUAGCACAGGAAACUAUAUCCAGUCUGUUGGGAUAGACCAUGAUGGAAAAUAAUGUGAGAAAGGAAAUGUGUGUAUAUAUAUGUAUAUGACUGGGUCACUUUGUUAUACAGCAGAAAUUGACACAGCACUUUAAAUCAACUAUACUUUAAUUAAAAAAACAAAAAAUGAAAACUUCCAACAAAAACAAAAGUCCAGGACCAGAUGAUCUCACAGGUGAAUUUUAUCAAACAUUUAGAGAAGAGUUAACACAUAUUCUUCUGAAAUUCUAUUAUUAAUCUUUUUUAUUUAAUUUUGUUCCUUUUGUACAUUAUGAAGAAAUAGCAAGCUUGGCUUUACUAUUCUCAAUACAUGGAAAGAUAUACAUGAAGAGUUUUUAUUUCUAAGCUAGAGAUUAGUGGUGAUACAGUAGCAAAAAUGUUCCUUAGUGUUCAUAUGCUUGAUUAGACUAAUAGUAUGCUGUUGGAGGAGAAGGGCUAUAUCAUUUCUCUCCUCUCAUUACAUGGAAAUAAUUGCCUGGUAAUAACCUCAUCUGGGUCACUGAAUUAUAUAUUUAAAGUGUUAAAAGAUAAAAAGUAUCUAUGUAUCAUACACACACACACACACACACACACACAUACAUAUAUAUAUAUAUUUCUCACAGUUUCCAUUGUGGCUCAGCAGGUUGAGAAUUCGACAUAGUCUCUGUGAGGAUGCGGGCUCAAUCCCUGGCCUUGCUCAGGGAUUAAGGAUCCAGCACUGCUGCAAGUUGUGGAGUAGGUGUGGCUAGUUUCAGCAUUGCUGUGGCUGUGGUG